AUGGUAGACUAACGAUUAAUUAUCUACCAUGAUUUAUAAAUUUUUUGUUUUAUAUAGGUAAUCAUGUUUAAUCCUAAGGGGCGCGGAGGUCGAGAUGGCUUAGGUGGAAGCCAAGGUCAUGGGCAAUUGAUUCGCAGGGAGCUUUUUGAGUCACUAGGAGCUCCAGAAAGCCCGAACCUUGGCUCUGAGACGCAACGAGAUGAUUUAGAGGCACGUGACAUUGGUGACCGCGUACCAGAGACGCCGAGCAGCCAGAGGGAGGAAGCUGAAGGGUCAAACCGUGCAUCAAAAAGGGUUUUGAGCCCUACUGGAUUGUGGUUUGAUGAUAACAAAGUUAGCGGGUCCAUCACUGACAUUUUCCAGGGUCAUUUUUGAGAACCUUGGUUUAACUACGGUGAGGUGGACGAUGCAACAAAGACGCAUUGGUGGAACUCAUUCACGGGUCUUUACGAAUGGGCUCCUGAGUUAGAUGGCCAAGUGAGAAAAGCAGACCAGAUGAAAGCUGGAAAUCGUUUGAGAGACUUGCGGUAUUGGGUGCUCAACAAAGCUAAAGAAAGGCCAAAAUGGUUAGGGAAAACCAUUUAUGAAACAAUGAAAAAGAA